CUCUACAUCUCGACAUACAGAAGUAUUACUGGAAGGAUUCCUUCUCUUGCAUGUUUAUUAAGGAAUUCUAGCGUGGUGGCUUCUGGAGGGAGCUCUCAGAUCUGCACGAAGAGCUGUGCUGCCAGAAGGCUGAGCAUCCUGCUGCUACCCUGUGUGGGCUUAGGAGGAGAGCUGUGGAACAUUCUGCCGCAGAGACAAAGAGAGAGGCUGUGUUCCAGGAAGGAGAGACAAGCAGGACUAACAGAAGAGAACUUAACACAGGUGCUGCCUGUGUAUGAAUUCAGGCAUUGGUCUACCCACAAGACAUGUUCCAUGAUAUUGGAAGGACUUAGCGUCCAGGAACUUCAGCUGGUGACAUUCCUCAUUUCGUAUCUCAGAAAAGGAAAUAAUGAGGAGUUUGAUGCACUGGGGACAAACAGAAGUAAAGAGAGAGAAUGCAAUUUUAAAGCACUUCAGCACUUUAUCAUAUUCAAGAGAUUUUUAAAAAAUGUACCUACAGUGCUAUGAGGUAAGAGUUGAAUUUUCCACAUGGUUCACUGGAAAAUUUACUGUUAAAACUCUCUGAAACAUCAUUUAUAGAAGGAACAUAUUUGGAACAUUAACAUGCAGUUCUAACCACUGUCACCAGGCUUGCACUACUGUUUCUUCAGCUAUGGGAGGUGCAAGGCUGAUUCUUAUCAAGAGUUACUCCUUAGCAGCCUAUGACUAAAGGCAGCACGCUGCUCUGGCCUGGAUGUACAAAGACUGAAACUAACACUAGGGCAUGAGAAACAGAGGGGAAACUAUGCUGAACUGUUCACAUUUCUCAUGGUGAGGAAACAAUGGUAACUUAUUUUAGGGUAUCUCUACAAGCAGGCAGCAGGACAACACAGAUUGGCUUUCAAGUCCAGACCAAAUCUUGUUAACUUCAAUACCAGGCAGAUGUGUAGCUUAAUCUGGAUAAAGAUUACACAGUAAUAUAAAACAUGGCAUUAAUCUGCUUGUAAUGAAUUGAUUUUUAUUUCUAAUAUUAAUAAAUUCAGUAAAAAAUUAAUUGAGCCUUUUUUU
rnacentral:lncRNA from 1 species